GGAUGCGAUCAUACCAGCACUAAAGCACCGGAUCCCAUCAGAACUCCGAAGUUAAGCGUGAUUGGGCGAGAGUAGUACUAGGAUGGGUGACCUCCUGGGAAGUCCUCGUGUUGCAUUCC
rnacentral:rRNA from 2 species